UACAGGGGUGAGCAAACGUUGCUCUGGAAUUAUUGGGCGUAAAGCGCACGUAGGCGGUUUGUUAAGUCGGAUGUGAAAUCCCUCGGCUCAACUGAGGAAGUGCAUCCGAAACUGGCAGGCUUGAGUACUAAAGAGGGUCGCGGAAUUCCCGGUGUAGAGGUGAAAAUUCGUAGAUAUCGGGAGGAACACCGGUGGCGAAGGACGGCGACCUGGGUAGAUACUGACGCUGAGGUGCGAAAGCGUGGGGAGCAAACAGG
rnacentral:rRNA from 1 species